CCCCCUUCCUGGGAUGAUGCCCCUUCAUGGGGUGGGCAUCGGAGGAGCCCCGGGUUUCCUCUCGCAUAAGGGGCUGCAGCUCAGGGGGCUGCGGAGGGAGGCGUCUCUGCCCGCCUUGGGCUUGGGGAGGAGGGGGAAGCAGGGUCAUGGGGGGCGUGAAGAGCCUGAGAUGGGAACCCCCCAUGGUUGUCCCGGAGGAACCUUCGACCUUUCCCUACCACCAGAAAAAGAGAGAGAGAGAGAAGCAAACAAACAAAUUUGGAUUUUUUUUUUCCUAUCAAUCCCGAAAUACAACGAGAUCUGAAGAGACGUGUGGGAGGGAGGCAGUUUAAAGGGGGGAAGGGGGUCCCCGACCGCAGGGGAGAAGGACGGGGCUCGCUUCUCUCCGUCUCCUCCCCGCGCCCGGGUUUCUCAGUCCUCGCCGCCCCGAGCCGGCUCCGGGAGCUGGGGACGCCGGGCUAGAGGAAACGAUCCUCCCGCCUCUGGAAUUGGGGCUGCGGGGGUGGGGGCCGAGCCGAGGGCGGCGCGCGGCCAAGUUGCAAAUUGGAUUAGGGAGCGUGGGGGUGAGAGCCACGGGAGGGUGAGGGAGCAGGGCGGAGGGGCCCGGGCCGCCGGAGCCGCCGAGCGGGGCAGCUGUCCCCACCGGCGGCCGCCCAGCCUUCCUCCAAUGCCGGGAGAGAACAGGCUUUCCGGGCGAUCGUGCCGCCUCCCCCGGUGAAGAGAUCUGCUCCCUAAAGCCUCAGCUCCGUCCCCAACCACACCCGGAGAUGACCCGGCGCGGGUGGGGGCCGGCGCUGCCCCCUCCCCUCCCCAGGUUCUUACAAUCAGAGACUCCGAGAUUUGGGGCCCCAGUGCCACUGCCCUCCCCGCCCGUCCCCGUUGUGCGUCAUGCUGUUUUUAAAAUCUGUUUCCAAAUUUGUAUGGAAUGGCAAAUUGUUGGGGGGUCGGUUUGGGGAGGGAGGGUUUGCAUGAAAGACACACACGCACACCACACCGCACGCACACGCAGGCCCAGAGCUGGCGUCGGGGGGCAGAGGGAGGAGAGCUCGCCGCCCCCCAGCCCCGCUCAGGCAACUCCAUCCCUUCCCGGGACAAGGGUGGAGACCCAGACCUGAAGGCAGCCCCACCUCUGCCCGACCGUGCCUCUUUGGGCCUCAGGCGCCCGGCGAUUUCCGGUGGCUGGAGAGGGAGUUUUUGUCCUAGGCAUCCUCUUGGCUCUGGCUGACAAGUGGGCAGGGAGAGGGCUGAGGACUCCUUCUGGAGGUUUCCCAAAAUAAAAGGGGCAAAAGGAGAACCUCUCCCCACCGGAGGCAGGAGAUCAGAUAUCCAAACACACGAUACAAAAAUGCAAACCCACAGGCGAAACACCCACACACUCACACGGAAUUUUACCUUCCUCCUGUAGAGAAGAUGAAACUCCCGUCGGACACCCGAAGUGCAUUGCGUGUUUCUGUUCAGUUUAAUGACGAUUAAUAAAUAUUUAUGUAAAUGAGAUGCAAAGCCGGACCGGUUUUUCACGGUGGCCUCGUUUCAUUCCGGGCAUUGAGCUGGGAUUCAGCGUGAUGAAAAAAACAAGAGUCAAUGACUGUGUGGUGGCCAGGUAAAGGAACCCUGGAAAUUCCUGCGUAGGAUUCCCACACUACAAACCCCCUCACACCCACCCACUGGGCACCGAAACAGCUGCACUUGCUGCCCCUCACAGACCUUACACAGACUCACACACGCCCCCAGCACAAAGCAUUGCGCUAAUCUCAUUACACUCCUUCAGUUCCCCAACAUGCACACGCACCUCUUUUGAAAACAAAAUAUCUUUUCAU
rnacentral:lncRNA from 1 species